GGACCCUUAGCUCAAUUGGUUAGAGCAUCUGGCCCAUACCCAGACGGUUGUAGGAUCGUUCCCUACAGGGUCCACCA
rnacentral:tRNA from 1 species